GCCAGGUGUGGUGGCUCGUUCCUGUAAUCCCAGGUACUCGGGAGGCUGAGGCAGGAGAAUCGCUUGAACCCAGGAGGCAGAGGUUGCAGUGAGCUGAGAUCAUGCCACUGCACUUCAGCCUGGGCAACAAAGCGAGACUCUGUCUCAA
ensembl:misc_RNA Metazoa_SRP Metazoan signal recognition particle RNA